rnacentral:rRNA from 1 species
UACGGGGGGGAGCAAGCGUUGUUCGGAUUUACUGGGCGUAAAGGGCGCGUAGGCGGUCAGCACAAGUCAGUUGUGAAAUCUCCGGGCUUAACUCGGAAAGGUCAACUGAUACUGUGCGACUAGAGUGCGGAAGGGGCAACUGGAAUUCUCGGUGUAGCGGUGAAAUGCGUAGAUAUCGAGAGGAACACCUGCGGCGAAGGCGGGUUGCUGGGCCGACACUGACGCUGAGGCACGAAAAGCUAGGGGGAGCAAACAGG